rnacentral:tRNA from 1 species
GCCGGAGUGGUGGAACAGGCAGACACGCAGCACUUAGGAUGCUGUGCCCCAGGGCGUGCGGGUUCGACUCCCGCCUUCGGCACCG